rnacentral:rRNA from 1 species
AUUGAACGCUGGCGGCAGGCCUAACACAUGCAAGUCGAACGAGUGGCGUACGGGUUAGUAAUGUCUGGGAAACUGCCUGAUGGAUGGGGAUAACUACUGGAAACGGUAGCUUAUACCGCAUACCAUCGGAUGUGCCCAGAUGGGAUUAGCUAGUAGGUGGGGUAAAGGCUCACCUAGGCGACGAUCCCUAGCUGGUCUGAGAGGAUAACAGGACACACUGGAACUGAGACACGGUCAAGACUCCUACGAGAGGCAGCAGUGGGGAAUAUUGGACAAUGGGCGCAAGCCUGAUGAAGCCAUGCCGCGUGUAUGAAGAAGGCCUUCGGGUUGUAAAGUACUUUCAGCGGGGAGGCGUUACCCGCAGAAGAAGCACCGGCUAACUCCGUGCCAGCCGCCGCGGUAAUAC